rnacentral:rRNA from 1 species
GAUCAGGGCUCAGGAUGAACGCUAGCUACAGGCUUAACACAUGCAAGUCGAGGGGAAACGACAUCGAAAGCUUGCUUUUGAUAGGCGUCGACCGGCGCACGGGUGAGUAACGCGUAUCCAACCUGCCCAUCACUUGGGAAUAACCUUGCGAAAGUAAGACUAAUGCCCAAUGAUAUCCCACGAAGGCAUCCGAAUGGGAUUAAAGAUUUAUCGGUGAUGGAUGGGGAUGCGUCUGAUUAG